AAAUAAUUAAACACACAGGAGGACGAAAAACCCUAAAAGCUGUAAUGGGGGACAUUUCGAUUAAUCGGAACAAACUCAAUCAACCGGCUUAAUUGCUAAAGGUUUUCGAACUUUCUGGGUAAAUGAAUCGCACAGGAGAGGACGAACUAUCUAAAAUCAUAAUGGGAGACAAACUCGAUUUUUCAUAACAGACCAGUAACAAGGGAUUUGCUAAAGAUUUUCCAAAAAUACUUCACUGAAUAAAAUAUGAAGACAUGAUUGAAGAUAGCAACAUGCAGAAACUUGAAAUGACCUUACCGGAGACAUAAUCCGAUGAAAGUUAUCGGUGAAGGAAAGGGAAAGUAUGAGAGAGAUAGACGAAAGAGAGAGAGUUAACUGUUGUUGUUUUUCCGCACGGUUUACAAUGAAAAAGAGAUAAAAGGUAUUGUAAAAAGACGCAGUUGUUGAGCGCGAAAACUGCUCAGUAAACCGUGGGAACAAAAUGGACAUUUCACAACCAAAUGUGGUAUGAGUUGUAAUGCCCGAAGAAAUAUGGCAGAUUACAUAACGAUUGGGAAAAAUAUGGCAGAUUUUAUAAUUUUCCUACAUUUAAUUCAUAUCAAACAACAUUUGAACAUUUAAAAC
rnacentral:sRNA from 1 species